GGAAACUAGAGUAAAGGUGGAAGGAGGAGGACUUAAAAAAAGAAGACGAAGAAAGGCAUUAAAAAAUAGCUUCCAUGUGGAGGUGCAACCAGCAGUCAGCAGCUGAAAACACAGAAAGCAAAAGCAAGUCUAGCUUUGACGUGACACAGACCUCAACACAAGUCGCCCCAUGCAGCACUGCAGCCACGUCCUGAAGCUGUGUCAACUGUGAUGAAUUUGGCUCAGCUUGACAGAUGGAUGAUGAUGUGAUGAAGUAGCCUACACAAGGAGAAAGAACAACAAUAGAAAGGCAACCUGGACGCCAUCCCUGUCUUCUUCAAUCCAGCAGGCAUUUGAUCCGGUGCCGACAGACUCGAGACCUCUGACUGUGCUGUGGCUUCAGGUCCCAGAGCAACCUGAGCCAGAGAGGGGUUAAAGUUCUGAGUUGGCACAAAAGGGCGUGAAAGCUAGUCUAAUCGAGACAGAGUGUUCAUUAAUCAUGGUCACAGAAAGCUAUAAUAAAGGCAAAGAGGCAGAUCUGAUCUCAGUUAUGGUUCUCUGAUCUUCCACCAGGUCUGAAGUGGGCUCCAGAUGUGUGGGCUGACAGUGUAAUCACACACACAUACACACACUGGCCCAUGCACACAUAUUAUCUUCCACAUAACAUCCACAUGCAUUCACGUCACACACAAUUUUGUAAAAUCAUGUGCAGGAGUUUGUCUUCAAAGAUCAGAGAGGCAGGGUGUGUUUGCUUUAACAAAAUGUAGCUCAAUUGUGGCGUUAUUGUAUUACUGAGGUGGAGACAGCAGCUUCCACCUGGAGUUACAGCCAGGUCUUUGGCCUCACUUCACAGACAUUUAGUCAUUGUGUGUGAGUCAAAAGCAAAGUCAUGUUUUCCUGGUUUAGUUCAGUUCGGUUAUAGUUUUGGCCAGCAGAUGCUUUACCUCAGAGAUCCACAAGAGGGCAACAUUGAAGCAGUUUUAGGAGGAAUCAUGGGUAGAAUUUCAAAGUUCUCACAAUCCGGACAGGAAAUCAUGUGUCAGAUUAAGACAUUAUAAGGCAUGCCAAUUACUGUAAACAUGACAAAUACAAGUUUUAUAUAUUAUCCCAAAAACAGUGCUCCAAAAUCUAAUAUACAUCCACAUAU